rnacentral:rRNA from 1 species
UACGUAGGGUGCGAGCGUUGUCCGGAAUUAUUGGGCGUAAAGAGCUCGUAGGCGGUGUGUCACGUCGGCCGUGAAAACCUGCAGCUUAACUGUGGGCGUGCGGUCGAUACGGGCAUCACUGGAGUUCGGCAGGGGAGACUGGAAUUCCUGGUGUAGCGGUGAAAUGCGCAGAUAUCAGGAGGAACACCGGUGGCGAAGGCGGUUCUCUGGGCCGUAACUGACGCUGAGGAGCGAAAGCGUGGGGAGCGAACAGG